rnacentral:rRNA from 1 species
GACGAACGCUGGCGGCGUGCCUAAUACAUGCAAGUAGGACGCAGUUGCGAACGGGUGAGUAACGCGUAGGUAACUACCUAUUAGAGGGGGAUAACUAUUGGAAACGAUAGCUAAUACCGCAUACUAGUAGAUGGACCUGCGUUGUAUUAGCUAGUAGGUAGGGUAAUGGGCUACCUAGGCAACGAUACAUAGCCGACCCGGGAGGGGGAACGGCCCACCCGGGACUUAGACACCGCCCAGACUCCCACGGGGGGGAACCAUAGGGAAUCUUUGGCAAUGGGGGGAACCCUGACCAAGCAACGCCGCGUGAGUGAAGAAGGUUUUCGGAUCGUAAAGCUCUGUUGUUAAGGAAGCGGUACUUAACCAGAAAGGGACGGCUAACUACGUGCCAGCAGCCGCGGUAAUUC